rnacentral:rRNA from 1 species
GUACACUCCUGCGGGAGGCAGCAGUGGGGAAUUUUGGACAAUGGGCGAAAGCCUGAUCCAGCAAUGCCGCGUGAGUGAAGAAGGCCUUCGGGUUGUAAAGCUCUUUUGUCAGGGAAGAAACGGUGAAAGCUAAUAUCUUUUGCUAAUGACGGUACCUGAAGAAUAAGCACCGGCUAACUACGUGCCAGCAGCCGCGGUAAUACGUAGGGUGCAAGCGUUAAUCGGAAUUACUGGGCGUAAAGCGUGCGCAGGCGGUUUUGUAAGUCUGAUGUGAAAUCCCCGGGCUCAACCUGGGAAUUGCAUUGGAGACUGCAAGGCUAGAAUCUGGCAGAGGGGGGUAGAAUUCCACGUGUAGCAGUGAAAUGCGUAGAUAUGUGGAGGAACACCGAUGGCGAAGGCAGCCCCCUGGGUCAAGAUUGACGCUCAUGCACGAAAGCGUGGGGAGCAAACAGGAUUAGAAACCCGGGUAGUCCCAUGA